UCCCUCCAACAGGAAGUGCAAUAAAAACAGCAGGAAUUCACCGUAACUCACCCCUCAAAGACGUUGCCACUCCUGCUAUAAGUAUAAGGUCGGUCUGCUGAGUAAUGGGGGCGUUCAAGGUUUUUUCCACACUUGCCAUCUGUCUUCUGUUGGCUAGUCAAACAUUUGCUAAAAAUGAGGCACCCUGCCAGAAGUCCAAGUGGAACAACGGCUACAACACCUUUGUCAGACGCCACAUCCGCGAUGGAUUGCCCGCUACUCUCAACAGAGAUGAUUGGAAGGCGUACAUCAAAAACAACGGGGGCUGUGACAGACCAACACAGUCUUUCCUUCACCCGGCAGACCUGGACAGGGUGAAGUCUGUGUGCACAAGUGCAGGAGGUAAGACAUACAAGGAGAACCUGUGCAUCAGCCAGCAGCCUUUCACUUUUGUCACAGUGAGGAGUGAACCGGAAACCUGUGGGAUCAGGAACAUCCGUGAGGAAACCAAACAUCUGAUUCUGGCCUGUGAAGUGUUGGAGAAUCAGUGCCUGCCUGUACAUUUUGAGGGAAAUCCUGAAAGUCAUGGACCUAAUAACAACGCAAAAGGCUGCCAGGACACUGAUAUUAGAGGCCAUGCACCCAGCUUUAAAAUGACAUGGCUUCCAUUGUUGUUUGUUGUUGUGCUUGUUAUUUUAGUCUAAUCACAUUUUAAAUGGUUCAAGGGACAUUUCACUUUCUGGAUCACACUUGAGCAAACAAUGUGUUUAAAGUAUUAAAAUGACAUUUGAAAAUAUCAAACAACAAUCUAUCAAUGAAUCACAUUGUGUACAGGUUUAAAAAAUGUUUGUUUAACUUUUAUAAUUCAUGUUAUGCUUGUGUGUGUGUGUGUAUAAGGGAGGUUUUUCUUUUAUAGCUGUCCAGCAAUCAUUUCAGUAUAAGCAGAGAGUUUACAGCACAGUUAAAGGGCAGAAAUUAUAUUACUAUACUUAAGGGAUUGUAUUUACUAAAGAUGUUUUUAUAAAGUGAAUAAGAUAUAUAUUUUAAAAAUUCUUGAGUCCAUGUUGCUCUUGUUUUCACCUUCUAUCUUGAUUAGUCAGUCUUCAACUUGACUGAUUGGCACCUGAUUUGGCAGUUGCCAAAUAAAUUUUUUUUUAUAUUGAAAUGGCUGUAAAAAAUAAACAUAAUAUGGACAAAGUUGCUGUUGUGUUAUAUUAUGGAUUGGUUCACAACUGUGUGUUAUCUUCCAUACAAAACACUGAACUUUGAUCAUCAAAAAAACAAGCACAAUAGGAUCGGUCUAUAGACUGUGUUGCUCCGCUGUAGUCCAGCUCUUUUUUUUUUAUAAAUGUGGUUGAUCAAUAUUUUGUUGUAGGAGAGGGGUGUCCGAUGUAUUGGUGACUUAUACAUGGGAGGCGUCUUUGCUUCAUUCACAUAGAUGCAGGGGAAGUAUGAACUGGUGAAUAAUAGCUUCUUUCGUUACCUACAAGUCAGGGACUACAUUCGGAAAUAUUUAAGAGAUUUUGAGACAAUAACGCAAUCUACAAUAGAUGACUGUCUGAAACUGUCUCCUAAUGACAGUAAAUUGAUAUCCCACAUCUAUAAUAAUCUCUUAUUAAUAAGCUUCCCCUUAACUGAAAAGUGUAAACAUAAGUGGGAAGAGGAACUAGGUGAAUCAAUUCCAGACGAUUUAUGGAAGGAGAGUCUUGAAAAUAUACAUAAUUGUUCAGAUAACACAAGACACUGUCUUGUCCAAUUUAAAAUUAUACAUAGGCUUCAUUACUCGAAGGAAAAACUGCAUAAAAAUAUACCCAGAUGUGUCACCUUUGUGUGAUAAAUGCCACUGACCUUGUUUUAAUAUUCUAAAAAGUUUAUUCUUUACUUGACUUUCGUAUUGUUUAUAAAAAAAGCCUCAAAAAAAGCCUCAGAAUGUACAAGUGGAAUGUAUGUUAAAAUGGAUACUUUAAUAAAAAGACGUUUGAUUAAUA